GACGAACAGUGCAAACGUUAUUCGGAAUCACUGGGCUUAAAGGGCGCGUAGGCGGGCCGCCAGGUCCGGGGUGAAAGCCUCCAGCUCAACUGGAGAAGUGCCUUGGAUACCGGCGGCCUCGAGGGAGGUAGGGGCGUGCGGAACUUCGGGUGGAGCGGUGAAAUGCGUAGAUAACCGAAGGAACACCGGUGGCGAAAGCGGCGCGCUGGAUCUCUUCUGACGCUGAGGCGCGAAAGCCAGGGGAGCAAACGGG
rnacentral:rRNA from 1 species